rnacentral:lncRNA from 1 species
UUAUUAUUAUUAUUAUUACAGAGAAUUGCAACGUUGUGAAAACGUAUCUCGAACCAUGUCACAAUUAAUGUACCCGUGGUUACCGACACAUUUCGACUCUGUUGAGACUUGGAUUUGGGUCACACCAAUGUAUCCCCGAAUAUAAGAAAGUAAUUUUGUUAAAGACACGCCUAAAGCGACUAGCAUAUCAUCGUUUUGAAUAAGGCCGUGAAAUUCGCUAAGCAUCCAAUCCCGAGUUCUAAACAAUUAAUAUAUAUAUACAUUUGUGAGGGCCCCGCAAUUUGUGCGUUCUAUUCGGCGAGGAUCAUCUCAUUUAUUUUAGAAGGAUUGUCCUAAAGUGACUAUAUUCUUCUAUUUUGUCUGUCUCUAAAAAUGAAAGAAGAAAAGAUCCUAAUCUAUUUACAUGCUUAUGAGUUGUUAUAGCCGGGUUUCAAACACAAUUUAUUAAAUCGGAAUAUGGAUGUACAUAGGGGCAUUCCAUCCGCCAAUCAUGGGCCCAGGUCCAAUGCGUACAGCAUUAAACUAAACCUGGGCCAUCUUAUUACAACAUUGAAGCCUAGUUAAUUUAUCUUAACAUGUUCAGAAUCUAAGAGGCCGAAAUAUAAACUGA